GUCUCUGUUGCGCAAAGGAUAGCGCGUUGGUCUUCUAAUCCAAAGGUAGUGGGUUCGAAUCUUACCUGGGAUU